AUAACCGUUUUUGGUGUCAGAAUCAAAAAACGAAAAACCUAUUAAAAACGUCCCGUUUUUCGUUAUUUGGCGAUCAUUUUAUCGUUAUUCCUUUUUGAACAAAAAAUGAAGAGUGUCUUUGAACUUCAGUCAAUUCGUUUUUCGUUUAUUGCAAGUGGUGCCCGCUGCAGAGCCAAAUGGGCGGAGCUGGAGCUCUAGCGAGGCGGGGCACCCUCGCUGGAUCUAGUGGGCGUGGCAGCAUCAAGUGCGCAGGCGCAGAUAGAGUUUGUUUAAACUUCAUGUACAGCCUGUAUCAAGUACUCCGGAGUAUUGCACGGUGCACCAGACAAUACUUUUGCGAGGACAGGAUCUUCUGCUCUCUAUAUCACGGUGCCUACUGUAAAUAAGCAUUUACACGAGCUCUGAAAUCAUGCAGUUCAACUAAAAGAUUUUAUCAUCAAGCAUGGUCUCAAGUGCAGACGAUCCCACACUUUCACUGCUGUUUCUGUACAUCAACAUUUUAAAAUGUGUAAAAAUCCAGCCUCUGGACAACCUUCCAUUGGCUGCAACACCACCUUCAUCCCCAGCAUCAGCAUCCCCACCUUUAUUUCCCCUCGACAUUGGAACAUGUCUGUACUGAUUAAUGGCCUUGUUGUCACUUUCAGAUAUUUACAUCAUGGUUUAUGGUAAGCCACAGGAACUAGUAUAAAUGUAUAAAAGUAUAAUAUAACCUUAACAUUAUAACAUUUACAGAAGGUUUUAGUCUUCACUCAUCCAUUAUGCUUGUAAAUCAUUUAAGGGCAUAUAUGCAAGUGAAAGAGUUGCAAUGCAGAGCCCUGCUUCACUGUACUGUUGUACAUUUGUAUUUAAAGACAUCAUUUGACAUCAUCCAGUUCCACAAAGUAACACAAUUCAGAAAUGUGGCUUACCAUAAACCAUGAUGUAAAUAUCUGAAAGUGACAACAAGGCCCUUUAAUGGAGGAAAGAGUUGUGUGCUGCUUUGCCAGUGAAAGCUUACUAUCUGUGCACCCCUCUUUAUUUGUGUCCACCGCAACGUGUGGGUUGUGAACUAAUCUAAAUGAUCGAUAACACUUUACAACAAGAUUGUAUUUGUUUAGAUUAGUUAAUGCAUUAGCUAACAUGAACUAUCAAAUAACAAUACUUCUACAGCAUUUAUGAAUCUUAGUUCAUGUUAAUUUCAGCAUUUACUAAUACAUUUAUCAAGCGUUGUAACUGUUAACAUUAGUUAAUGCAUGAACUAAAUAA